UUUUUGUUUCAGCUAUUGUGUCUUUAAAGACCAGAUUGAAUAACAAACGAAUUUGGAUCCAUCUGUUGAGAUGCUGAUCCUUUUACUGUGUUAUUCCUGGCUGGAAUGAGAAAAAUGUUCAGGUGUUGCAUCCAGGAAUUAACUGCAUCUGGUGAACAGGAAUUUACCGUUUUUUGCUUUUCUUGAAGAUAUAAAGGUAUUUCUGCAUUAAACCUGCUUUACUACGAGGCAUCUGCACUCCAAAGAAGGUUGUUAAAGUAACUUAUUUUACAUCAUUUGCGGUGACUGGUGGCAUGGAUUGUCUUCCAUGUGAAGAUAUCAGUGAAAAGAUCACCCCCACUUUCUUUUAGAGAGUUCUGAUUGGAAGGUCCGCUUGGAAUCUAUUGAAAGUGUGACCAAAAUUCUGGAAGAGGUGAACAAACGUGUUCUGCUGGCUGGAACUGGAGAUCUAUUUGGAGCUAU